rnacentral:rRNA from 1 species
CGGGAAGCGAUACUUGUAUCGCGGAGAGUGGCGGACGGGUGAGGAACACGUAGACGACCUGCCCUGGGGAGGGGGAUAACGCGGGGAAACCCGAGCUAAGACCCCAUAAGCUCACGAGGAUUAGAAACUCAUGAGAAAAGGCUCCGGUGCUCCAGGAGGGGUCUGCGGCCCAUCAGGUAGUUGGCGGGGUAAUGGCCCACCAAGCCGUUGACGGGUAGGGGACCUGAGAGGGUGACCCCCCACACGGGGACUGAGACACGGCCCCGACUCCUACGGGAGGCAGCAGUAAGGGAUAUUGCACAAUGGGCGCAAGCCUGAUGCAGCAACGCCGCGUGCCCGAUGAAGGCCUUCGGGUCGUAAAGGGCUUUUCUGGCUGAAGAGGACGGACAGUAAGCCAGGAAUAAGUGUCGGCUAACUACGUGCCAGCAGCCGCGGUAAAACGUAGGACGCAAGCGUUAUCCGGAGUUACUGGGCGUAAAGGGCGGGCAGGCGGCUCUUCAAGUCUGAUGUGAAAGCGCCCAGCUAAACUGGGCGAGGCCAUUGGAAACUGGAGAGCUGGAGGGCAGCAGAGGCAGGUGGAAUUCCGGGUGGAGUGGUGAAAUGCGUAGAGAUCCGGAGGAACCCCAGAGGCGAAGGCGGCCUGCUGGGCUGCACCUGACGCUGAACCGCGAAAGCCAGGGGAGCGAACGGGAUUAGAAACCCCGGUAGUCCUGGCCGUAAACGAUGUUCACUGGAUGUCGGGGGUUAUGCCUUCGGCGUCGUAGCAAACGCGCUAAGUGAACCGCCUGGGGAGUACGGUCGCAAGGCUAAAACUC